GCGGCGUGCCUAACACAUGCAAGUCGAGCGAGGGUUUGCUCAGUAUUGAGUAUUCUAAAACUAGAAUGUUCAAUUCUGAGCAAAACCAAGCGGCGGACGGGUGAGUAACGCGUGGGUAACCUGCCCUAUACACAUGGAUAACAUACUGAAAAGUUUACUAAUACAUGAUAAUAUAUAUUUGUGGCAUCGCAGAUAUAUCAAAGUGUUAGCGGUAUAGGAUGGACCCGCGUCUGAUUAGCUAGUUGGUGAGAUAACUGCCCACCAAGGCGACGAUCAGUAGCCGACCUGAGAGGGUGAUCGGCCACAUUGGAACUGAGACACGGUCCAAACUCCUACGGGAGGCAGCAGUGGGGAAUAUUGCACAAUGGGCGAAAGCCUGAUGCAGCAACGCCGCGUGAACGAUGAAGGUCUUCGGAUCGUAAAGUUCUGUUGCAGGGGAAG
rnacentral:rRNA from 1 species